UACAGAGGUGGCAAGCGUUGUUCGGAAUUACUGGGCGUAAAGGGCGCGUAGGCGGUCAGGUCAGUCCCGUGUGAAAUCCCUCGGCUCAACUGAGGAACUGCACGGGAAACUGCCUGGCUUGAGUUCGGGAGAGGGAAGCGGAAUUCCGGGUGUAGCGGUGAAAUGCGUAGAUAUCCGGAGGAACACCGGUGGCGAAGGCGGCUUCCUGGACCGACACUGACGCUGAGGCGCGAAAGCCAGGGGAGCAAACGGG
rnacentral:rRNA from 1 species